CAAGUUCAACAGUGGUAUCACACCAUUUUGUAUUGACUUAUCAUCUUUAAGAUCAUUAUAUCUAUGGGACAAUGGACUAACAGGAACGAUUGACAUUAAAAGAGUAUCGAAACUUGGAAAUUUGGAAUUUCUUGAUUUAAGUCAUGACAACUACGGCAAUAGUUUCCUACCAUCCUUUGGUAAUCUUUCAUAUUUAAAAAAAUUUAUUCUGUCUCAAUGUGGAUUGAGAGAAGCAAUCGAUAUUCAAAAAUUAAGUAAUGGAACAAGCUUGAAGUUCUUGAAUUUAGUGGGCAAUGAAAUUGAAUCCCUUAAAUCCUUCCAAGGUGGUGGAGAUGGUGGUGGUGAAGAGUUACAGAAGCUGAGCAAUUUGGAAUAUCUUGAUUUGAGCUAUAAUCGCCUGGAUAACAACAGUCUAUCAUCUCU